rnacentral:rRNA from 1 species
CGGUGUUCAACUGGCGUGUCCGCGGGACGUCCUGCCGGUGGGCUUAGCCCGCAAGGGCGGCCCAACUUCAAAUCCCAUCGCGGUGCUCUUCACUGAGUGUCGAGGUGGGCCGGCACGUUUACUUUGAACAAAUUAGAGUGCUUAAAGCAGGCUAAAACUCCGCCUGAAUACUGUGUGCAUGGAAUAAUGGAAUAGGACCUCGGUUCUAUUUUGUUGGUUUUCGGAACCCCGAGGUAAUGAUUAAUAGGAACGGAUGGGGGCAUUCGUAUUGCGACGUUAGAGGUGAAAUUCUUGGAUCGUCGCAAGACGGACAGAAGCGAAAGCAUUUGCCAAAAACGCUUUCAUUGAUCAAGAACGAAAGUUAGAGGUUCGAAGGCGAUCAGAUACCGCCCUAGUUCUAACCAUAAACGAUGCCAGCUAGCGAUCCGUCGACGUUCCUCCGAUGACUCGACGGGCAGCUUCCGGGAAACCAAAGCUUUUGGGUUCCGGGGGAAGUAUGGUUGCAAAGCUGAAACUUAAAGGAAUUGACGGAAGGGCACCACCAGGAGUGGAGCCUGCGGCUUAAUUUGACUCAACACGGGAAACCUCACCAGGCCCGGACACCGGAAGGAUUGACAGAUUGAGAGCUCUUUCUUGAUUCGGUGGGUGGUGGUGCAUGGCCGUUCUUAGUUGGUGGAGCGAUUUGUCUGGUUAAUUCCGAUAACGAACGAGACUCUAGCCUGCUAACUAGGCGUAUUUUCGACAUCUCAAAGGUCCGUCGUCCCGGCCCUCGGGUCGUGGGCGUGCGCGAUUUUUACUGUCGGCGUACUAUCAAUUCUUCUUAGAGGGACAGGUGGCUUCUAGCCGCACGAGAUUGAGCAAUAACAGGUCUGUGAUG